rnacentral:SRP_RNA from 2 species
GCCAGGCGUGGUGGCUCACGCCUGUAAUCCCGGUACUUUGGGAGGCUGAGGUGGGUGGAUCACCUGAGGUCGGGAGUUCGAGACCAGCCUGACCAACAUGGAGAAACCCCAUCUCUA